rnacentral:rRNA from 1 species
UACCAGCUCUCCGAGUGGUAGGGAUGAUUAUUGGGCUUAAAGCGUCCGUAGCCGGCUUAGCAAGUCUCCUGUUAAAUUCAGCGACCUAAUCGUUGAGCCGCGGGAGAUACUACUAGGCUAGGAGGCGGGAGAGGUCAACGGUACUUCCGGGGUAGGGGUGAAAUCCUAUAAUCCCGGGAGGACCACCAGUGGCGAAGGCUGUUGACUAGAACGCGCUCGACGGUGAGGGACGAAAGCUGGGGGAGCGAACCGGAUUAGAUACCCGGGUAGUCCCAGCUGUAAACGAUGCGAGCUAGGUGUUGGGGUGGCUACGUGCCACUUCAGUGCCGCAGGGAAGCCAUUAAGCUCGCCGCCUGGGGAGUACGGCCGCAAGGCUGAAACUUAAGGGAAUUGGCGGGGGAGCACCACAAGGCGUGAAGCUUGCGGUUC